AUUGAACGCUGGCGGCAUGCUUUACACAUGCAAGUCGAACGGAUUUUGGAGCUUGCUCCAGAGUUAGUGGCGAACGGGUGAGUAAUAUAUCGGAACGUACCCGGCAAUGGGGGAUAACGUAGCGAAAGUUACGCUAAUACCGCAUAUGCCCUGAGGGGGAAAGCAGGGGACCAGUAAUGGCCUUGCGUUGUCGGAGCGGCCGAUAUCGGAUUAGCUAGUUGGUGAGGUAAAGGCUCACCAAGGCGACGAUCCGUAGCGGGUCUGAGAGGAUGAUCCGCCACACUGGGACUGAGACACGGCCCAGACUCCUACGGGAGGCAGCAGUGGGGAAUUUUGGACAAUGGGCGAAAGCCUGAUCCAGCCAUGCCGCGUGAGUGAAGAAGGCCUUCGGGUUGUAAAGCUCUUUCAGGUGGAAAGAAAAGGUUACGGAUAAUACCUGUAACUGAUGACGGUACCAUCAGAAGAAGCACCGGCUAACUACGUGCCAGCCGCCGCCGUAA
rnacentral:rRNA from 1 species